UACGUAGGGUGCGAGCGUUGUCCGGAUUUAUUGGGCGUAAAGAGCUCGUAGGCGGCUUGUUGCGUCGGCUGUGAAAACCCAUGGCUCAACCGUGGGCUUGCAGCCGAUACGGGCAGGCUAGAGUUCGGUAGGGGAGACUGGAAUUCCUGGUGUAGCGGUGAAAUGCGCAGAUAUCAGGAGGAACACCGGUGGCGAAAGCGGCGCACUGGACCACUUCUGACGCUGAGGCGCGAAAGCUAGGGGAGCAAACAGG
rnacentral:rRNA from 1 species